AUACGGAGGGUGCAAGCGUUACUCGGAAUCACUGGGCGUAAAGGAUGCGUAGGCUGGAUGUCAAGUUGGAAGUGAAAUCCUAUGGCUUAACCAUAGAACUGCUUCCAAAACUGGCAACCUAGAGUGAGGGAGAGGCAGAUGGAAUUAGUGGUGAAGGGGUAAAAUCCGUAGAUAUCACUAGGAAUACCGAUUGCGAAGGCGAUCUGCUAGAACUCUACUGACGCUAAGGCAUGAAAGCGUGGGGAGCAAACAGGAUUAGAUACCCGAGUAGUCC
rnacentral:rRNA from 1 species